rnacentral:rRNA from 1 species
ACUCCUACGGGAGGCAGCAGUGGGGAAUAUUGCACAAUGGGGGAAACCCUGAUGCAGCCAUGCCGCGUGUGUGAAGAAGGCCUUCGGGUUGUAAAGCACUUUCAGCGAGGAGGAAAAGGGGUGUAAGUUAAUACCUUACAUCCGUGACGUUACUCGCAGAAGAAGCACCGGCUAACUCCGUGCCAGCAGCCGCGGUAAUACGGAGGGUGCGAGCGUUAAUCGGAAUUACUGGGCGUAAAGCGUGCGCAGGCGGUUUGUUAAGCGAGAUGUGAAAGCCCCGGCUCAACCUGGGAACCGCAUUUCGAACUGGCAAACUAGAGUCUUGUAGAGGGGGGUAGAAUUGCCAGGUGUAGCGGUGAAAUGCAGUAGAGAUCUGGA